UCCCAUAUGGUCUAGUGGUCAGGAUUUCUGGUUUUCACCCAGGAGGCCCAGGUUCAACUUCUGGUAUGGGAA